rnacentral:rRNA from 1 species
UACGUAGGGCGCAAGCGUUGUCCGGAAUUAUUGGGCGUAAAGAGCUCGUAGGCGGCUUGUCACGUCGGGUGUGAAAGCCCGGGGCUUAACCCCGGGUCUGCAUUCGAUACGGGCUGGCUGGAGUGUGGUAGGGGAGAUCGGAAUUCCUGGUGUAGCGGUGAAAUGCGCAGAUAUCAGGAGGAACACCGGUGGCGAAGGCGGAUCUCUGGGCCAUUACUGACGCUGAGGUGCGAAAGCGUGGGGAGCAAACAGG